AACUUUAAGCCGGUGGACCAUUGGGUCCAGGGUUCGAGGAGGACGGCAGCAACUUGUGGGUCUUGGUGUGAACUGCAGGUCGACAUGAACAUCGACAUUUUGAACGCAUAUCGCAGUCCAUGCUGUUAUGUACUUUAAUUAAUUUUAUAGUGCUGCUUGGACUACAUAUGGUUGAGGGUU
rnacentral:rRNA from 1 species